CACGUAGGGGGCAAGCGUUGUCCGGAUUUAUUGGGCGUAAAGAGCUCGUAGGCGGCUUAGUAAGUCGGGUGUGAAACCUCCAGGCUCAACCUGGAGACGCCACCCGAUACUGCUGUGGCUAGAGUCCGGUAGGGGAGCGUGGAAUUCCUGGUGUAGCGGUGAAAUGCGCAGAUAUCAGGAGGAACACCAGCGGCGAAGGCGGCGCUCUGGGCCGGUACUGACGCUGAGGGGCGAAAGCGUGGGGAGCGAACAGG
rnacentral:rRNA from 1 species